UACGGAGGGGGCUAGCGUUGUUCGGAAUUACUGGGCGUAGAGCGCGCGUAGGCGGACCUGCAAGUCGGGGGUGAAAGCCCGAGGCUCAACCUCGGAACUGCCUUCGAUACUGCGGGUCUCGAGUCCGGGAGAGGUGAGUGGAAUUCCUAGUGUAGAGGUGAAAUUCGUAGAUAUUAGGAAGAACACCAGUGGCGAAGGCGGCUCACUGGCCCGGUACUGACGCUGAGGCGCGAAAGCGUGGGGAGCAACAGG
rnacentral:rRNA from 1 species